UUACUUUGAAGAAAUUAGGGUGUUCAAAGCGGGCGUCGUCGCUCCGAAUACAUUAGCAUGGGAUAAUGAAAGAAGACCUCCGUCCGCGCUUUCGGGAUGGUUCCUGGGACGGGGGUAAUGAUUGACAGGGGCGAUCGGGGUCGAUCGUACUCGGCGGUCAGAGGUGAAAUUCUAGGACCCGUCGAAGACGAACGAGUGCGAAGGCAUCCGACAAGGGCGUUUUCGUUAAUCAAGAACGAAAGUAGUGGGAUCGAAGAUGAUCAGAUACCGUCGUAGUCGCUACCGUAAACGAUGUCGACUCGGGAUCCGCGGAAGUUACAUGGAUGACUCCGCGGGCACCGCGAGCGAAAGCAAAGUAUUCGGACUCCGGGGGGAGUAUGGUCGCAAGGCUGAAACUUAAAAGAAUUGACGGAAGGGCACCACCAGGAGUGGAACCUGCGGCUUAAUUUGACUCAACACGGGGAAACUUACCCGGUCCGGACGCGACGAGGAUUGACAGAUUGAUGGCUCUUUCUUGAUUUCGUGGUAGCCGGUGCAUGGCCGUUUUUAGUUGGUGGAGUGAUUUGUCUGGUUAAGUCCGAUAACGAACGAGACCUUAAUCUGCUUAAUAGUGCCGGGAACGAGGGGGUCUAGGGGCACUCGGGGGUCGCGUUCGCGCGGCCACCGUGGGUCCGGGCCUCCGUAAGGUCGUUUGCCGGAGGACACUUCUUAGAGAGACACUCAGCGGUAACACAGCUGAUGGAGGUUUAAGGCAAAAACAGGUCUGUGAUGCCGCCAGAUGUCCGGGGCUGCACGCGCGUUACACUGACGUGUUCAACGAGCGACGUUUUCGACCGAGUCCGAAGGGACGAGGCAAGCUCGCAACGCACGUCGUGAUGGGGAUCGUGCCUUGUAACUAUCGCACGCGAACGAGGAAUUCCUAGUAGUGGCGAGUCAUCAACUCGCCUCGAUUACGUCCCUGCCCUUUGUACACACCGCCCGUCGCUUCUACCGAUCGAACUGCUCGAUGAGGACUCGGGACAUCAAGGGCCAACGAUUCGUCGGAGGCACAUGGUGAAACAUGUUCGAAUCUCGCCGUUUAGAGGAAGAAGAAGUCGUAACAAGGUUUCCGUAGGUGAACCUUCGGAAGGAUCAUU
rnacentral:rRNA from 1 species